UACGAAGGGGGCUAGCGUUGCUCGGAAUCACUGGGCGUAAAGGGUGCGUAGGCGGGUCUUUAAGUCAGAGGUGAAAGCCUGGAGCUCAACUCCAGAACUGCCUUUGAUACUGAGGAUCUCGAGUUCGGGAGAGGUGAGUGGAACUGCGAGUGUAGAGGUGAAAUUCGUAGAUAUUCGCAAGAACACCAGUGGCGAAGGCGGACUCACUGGCCCGAUACUGACGCUGAGGCACGAAAGCGUGGGGAG
rnacentral:rRNA from 1 species